rnacentral:misc_RNA from 1 species
GAUGAAGAACGCAGCGAAAUGCGAUACGUAAUGUGAAUUGCAGAAUUCAGUGAAUCAUCGAAUCUUUGAACGCAUAUUGCGCUCUCUGGUAUUCCGGAGAGCAUGCUUGUUUGAGUAUCAGUAAACACCUCAACUUCCAUAUCUUUUUUGAAAUGGGAGUUGGACUUGAGUGAUCCCAACGCUUUUCCUCACCGAAAAGUGGCGGGUUACUUGAAAUGCAGGUGCAGCUGGACUUUUCUCUGAGCUAUAAGCAUAUCUAUUUAGUCUGCCUAAACAACAGAUUAUUACCUUUGCUGCAGCUAACAUAAAGGAGAUUAGUUCUUGUGCUGACUGAUGCAGGAUUCACAAAGACAGGCUUCGGCCGACUUUGUAAACUCGAUCUCAAAUCAAGUAAGACUACCCGCUGAACUUAAGCAUAUCAAUAAGCGGAGGA